AUUGAACGCUGGCGGCAGGCCUAACACAUGCAAGUCGAACGGUAACAGGAAGCAGCUUGCUGCUUCGCUGACGAGUGGCGGACGGGUGAGUAAUGUCUGGGAAACUGCCUGAUGGAGGGGGAUAACUACUGGAAACGGUGGCUAAUACCGCAUAAUGUCGCAAGACCAAAGAGGGGGACCUUCGGGCCUCUUGCCAUCGGAUGUGCCCAGAUGGGAUUAGCUUGUUGGUGGGGUAACGGCUCACCAAGGCGACGAUCCUUAGCUGGUCUGAGAGGAUGACCAGCCACACUGGAACUGAGACACGGUCCAGACUCCUACGGGAGGCAGCAGUGGGGAAUAUUGCACAAUGGGCGCAAGCCUGAUGCAGCCAUGCCGCGUGUAUGAAGAAGGCCUUCGGGUUGUAAAGUACUUUCAGCGGGGAGGAAGGGAGUAAAGUUAAUACCUUUGCUCAUUGACGUUACCCGCAGAAGAAGCACCGGCUAACUCCGUGCCAGCAGCCGCCGUAA
rnacentral:rRNA from 1 species